GCUGGAUGCUGGUUGAGAUGCGUUAGAGAACAUCUAAUACUGAAUCUACCCAUGUGGAGGCAAAUGAAUGAUUCUCUUGAAGUUUCAUCUAUGGAACAAUAUAGAAUUCCUAAACUGAGAAAAGUUUGAACAUGUAUGUUCCCAUCUCUAGAUUAAUACAAAUAUUUAUUAUUUACAAUGGCUCUUUCUAAAUGCCCUGCAAAGCUAUGCUUUGUGUACUUAGAUUCACCUAUUUUUAGAUUGAAUUCAUAUCUGUAGUGUAUUUACACACCUAAAUUGUACACUUACACAGUUUUGCUAUUACAGAAGUUUCAAGAGAGAGCAGCAGCCUUUAGAACAAACAAACCUGUUUCAAGCUGAGAUCAAUAUACCAUGUUUAGUGAUACCAUAGCUCACUUAUCUGGGCUUUCUAAGUAGAGCACAGAGUGCAGGUGUAUUUUUUAAAUUCAGUUCCUUUGGUAUCUCCUCCAAAGUUGAACUAGCAAUGAAUGUCGUUAUCGCCACCCUGUUUUUCACUUUGGCCCAUACUCAUCUGCUCAUCAUUAAACUCUCACCUGGGGAGAGUAGCUUAAACACAAAGUCGCUGUCUGCAUAGCCAGUGGAAAAUGGAGGACAUGGAGAAAAUAUCUGACCUAAUAAAUUAAAGAGGUUAAGGACCAUUGCCUGGUUUUGAGGAUUACAGAAUUGUUGUAACUUGCAUAUAUACAGAAAAACUAUUUUCACUUCCCAAAUGGGAUGGUAACAACCAAAUUACUUACUAGAAUAUGCUAUAGUAUAGCAUACCUCCAGACUAUCUACCCUAGACAACAAUACUGUUUGGCAUGGGCUAAAAUAUACCAGAGCAUGUAUUAACAUUUAGGCAGUAGGGAUGGUUGUUCUUAUGUCUCUUACAGACCAGCCUACAUAGAGUUAUAGAGAAUAACUUAAUCCUUUGCAUUUUGAGGUACCUCUGUAUCCUCUCUUCAGAUGCUGCACGGAUGUAUUUCCUGGAUUUCUGAAGACCUCUUAGAUUUGUUGCUUCUGUCCCUCUGAACAGUUGAAGUUCAUUGUCAUGGUAGGGAAUUGUAGCAAGUCGUUAAACUCUAAUGGGGAAAAGGAAAAAUAAACAAAUAUCACCUUAUGAGCCAGCCUGAAGAACUGUUCUUCAAUAAUCCUCUUAUUUCUGUGCCAGGUAAUUUUUAUAUUAAUGAUGAAGCUAUACAUAAUAUGUAUAUGGUUCCACAAUAAACUGCAUUUCUCAUACUCUAUUCAUUUAAAAUAUCUUAAUU